GGUUAAGUGACUAAGCGUACACGGUGGAUGCCUUGGCAGUCAGAGGCGAUGAAAGACGUAGUAACUUGCGAUAAGCCCAGAUUAGGUAGUAACAACCAUUUGAGUCUGGGAUUUCUGAAUGGGGAAACCCACGUGCAUAAGCACGUAUCCUUACCUGAAUACAUAGGGUAAGGAGGCGAACCGGGGGAACUGAAACAUCUAAGUACCCCGAGGAAAAGAAAUCAACCGAGAUUCCGAAAGUAGCGGCGAGCGAAAUUGGACUAGCCCUUAAGCUUUACACGCGUUAGACGAACGGUCUGGAAAGUCCGACGAUACAGGGUGAUAGUCCCGUAGUUGACGACGUGUGUUCAGUGAAAUCGAGUAGGGCGGGACACGUGAUAUCCUGUCUGAAUAUGGGGGGACCAUCCUCCAAGGCUAAAUACUACUGACUGACCGAUAGUGAACCAGUACCGUGAGGGAAAGGCGAAAAGAACCCCUGUGAGGGGAGUGAAAUAGAACCUGAAACCGUGUACGUACAAGCAGUAGGAGCAGGCUUUGUCCUGUGACUGCGUACCUUUUGUAUAAUGGGUCAGCGACUUAUAUUCAGUGGCAAGGUUAACCAUCUAGGGGAGCCGUAGGGAAACCGAGUCUUAACUGGGCGUUCAGUCUCUGGAUAUAGACCCGAAACCAGGUGAUCUAGCCAUGGGCAGGUUGAAGGUUGAGUAACAUCAACUGGAGGACCGAACCGACUAAUGUUGAAAAAUUAGCGGAUGACUUGUGGCUAGGGGUGAAAGGCCAAUCAAACCUGGAGAUAGCUGGUUCUCCCCGAAAGCUAUUUAGGUAGCGCCUCGGACGAAUACUACUGGGGGUAGAGCACUGUUAAGGCUAAGGGGGUCAUCCCCGACUUACCAACCCUUUGCAAACUCCGAAUACCAGUAAGUACUAUCCGGGAGACACACGGCGGGUGCUAACGUCCGUCGUGGAGAGGGAAACAACCCCAGACCGCCAGCUAAGGUCCCAAAUUACUACUAAGUGGGAAACGAUGUGGGAAGGCUCAGACAGCCAGGAUGUUGGCUUAGAAGCAGCCAUCAUUUAAAGAAAGCGUAAUAGCUCACUGGUCGAGUCGGCCUGCGCGGAAGAUGUAACGGGGCUAAGUAGUAAACCGAAGCUGCGGCAAUGUGCUUUUGCACAUUGGGUAGGGGAGCGUUCUGUAAGCGGUUGAAGGUGUGUGGUAACGCAUGCUGGACGUAUCAGAAGUGCGAAUGCUGACAUGAGUAACGAUAAAGGGGGUGAAAAACCUCCUCGCCGGAAGACCAAGGGUUCCUGUCCAACGUUAAUCGGGGCAGGGUAAGUCGACCCCUAAGGCGAGGCCGAAAGGCGUAGUCGAUGGGAAACGGGUUAAUAUUCCCGUACUUCUUACAAUUGCGAUGGGGGGACGGAGAAGGCUAGGUGGGCCUGGCGACGGUUGUCCAGGUUCAAGUGCGUAGGCUUAAGAGUUAGGUAAAUCCGGCUCUUUUUAAGGCUGAGACACGACGUCGAGCAUCUACGGAUGUGAAGUCAUUGAUGCCAUGCUUCCAGGAAAAGCCUCUAAGCUUCAGAUUGUAAGGAAUCGUACCCCAAACCGACACAGGUGGUCGGGUAGAGAAUACCAAGGCGCUUGAGAGAACUCGGGUGAAGGAACUAGGCAAAAUGGUACCGUAACUUCGGGAGAAGGUACGCUCUCGACGGUGAAGUCCCUCGCGGAUGGAGCUAUUGAGAGUCGCAGAUACCAGGUGGCUGCAACUGUUUAUUAAAAACACAGCACUGUGCAAAAUCGUAAGAUGACGUAUACGGUGUGACGCCUGCCCGGUGCCGGAAGGUUAAUUGAUGGGGUUAGACUUCGGUCGAAGCUCUUGAUCGAAGCCCCGGUAAACGGCGGCCGUAACUAUAACGGUCCUAAGGUAGCGAAAUUCCUUGUCGGGUAAGUUCCGACCUGCACGAAUGGCGUAAUGAUGGCCACGCUGUCUCCACCCGAGACUCAGUGAAAUUGAAAUCGCUGUGAAGAUGCAGUGUACCCGCGGCUAGACGGAAAGACCCCGUGAACCUUUACUACAGCUUGGCACUGAACAUUGACCCUACAUGUGUAGGAUAGGUGGGAGGCUUUGAAGCACGUACGCCAGUAUGUGUGGAGCCGUCCUUGAAAUACCACCCUUGUAGUGUUGAUGUUCUAACGUCGACCCCUUAUCGGGGUUGCGGACAGUGCCUGGUGGGUAGUUUGACUGGGGCGGUCUCCUCCCAAAGAGUAACGGAGGAGCACGAAGGUGGGCUAAUCACGGUUGGACAUCGUGAGGUUAGUGCAAUGGCAUAAGCCCGCUUGACUGCGAGAAUGACAAUUCGAGCAGGUGCGAAAGCAGGUCAUAGUGAUCCGGUGGUUCUGAAUGGAAGGGCCAUCGCUCAACGGAUAAAAGGUACUCCGGGGAUAACAGGCUGAUACCGCCCAAGAGUUCAUAUCGACGGCGGUGUUUGGCACCUCGAUGUCGGCUCAUCACAUCCUGGGGCUGAAGUCGGUCCCAAGGGUAUGGCUGUUCGCCAUUUAAAGUGGUACGCGAGCUGGGUUUAGAACGUCGUGAGACAGUUCGGUCCCUAUCUGCCGUGGGCGUUGGAAGAUUGAAGGGGGCUGCUCCUAGUACGAGAGGACCGGAGUGGACGAACCUCUGGUGUUCGGGUUGUGUCGCCAGACGCAUUGCCCGGUAGCUAAGUUCGGAAUCGAUAACCGCUGAAAGCAUCUAAGCGGGAAGCGAGCCCUGAGAUGAGUCUUCCCUGAUACUUUAAGUAUCCUAAAGGGUUGUCGGAGACUACGACGUUGAUAGGUCAGGUGUGUAAGUGCUGUGAGGCAUUGAGCUAACUGAUACUAAUUGCCCGUGAGGCUUAACCAU
rfam:Vibrio parahaemolyticus RIMD 2210633 DNA, chromosome 1, complete sequence.